rnacentral:rRNA from 1 species
AACGAACGCUGGCGGCAUGCCUAACACAUGCAAGUCGAACGAGACCUUCCGGUCUAGUGGCGCACGGGUGCGUAACGCGUGGGAAUCUGCCCUUGGGUUCGGAAUAACUGGGAGAAAUUACUGCUAAUACCGGAUGAUGUCUUCGGACCAAAAAAUUUUCGCCCCGGAGUGAACCCGCUUAUCCUUAGGUAAUUGGUGGGGUAAUGGCCUACCCUGCCGACGAUCCUUAUCUGGCCUGAGAGGAUGAUCAGCCACACUGGGAGUGAGAAAGAGCCCCCACUCCGGCAGGGGGAAACCGUGGGGAAUAUUGGACAAUGGGCCAAAGCCUGAUCCAGGAAUGCCGCGUGAGUGAUGAACGCCUUAUCCUUGUGAGCUCUUUUAAUUUCAUGAUGUUGACCCUUUUGGAGAAAGGCUCCGGCUAUCUUAGUGCCAUCAACCGCGGUAAUACCGAGGGAGCUAGCGUUGUUCUAAAUUACUGGGCGUAAAGCCCGCGUUGGGAAUUUUCUCCAGCUCAGAGCUGAAAGACCGGGGCCUCAAACCCCGGAGCUGCCUUUGUAUCUAAGUAGCUUGAAACUCUGCAUAGGUCAGUGGAAUCUCCGAGUGUAGAGGUGAAAUUCUUAAUAUUCAGAAGAACACUAGAAUCCAAUGUGAAUCGAUUGAAUAAGUUAUGACACAGAGUGUAAAACCAUGUGGGAGAGCAAACUCGAAUUACAAACACUGGUUCUCUCGCGCACUAAACUAUGAUAGCUAGCUGGUCAGACACUUGGCUGCUUCGGUGCCGCCGCUAACGCAUUAGCUAUCCGCCGGGGGAGACUGUCGCACAUUAAU